CUCCAACCCAUCUACAUGUCCUCCGACCCCAUCUACACAUCCUCCAACCCCAUCUACACAUCUACACGUCCUACAACCCCAUCUACACAUCCUACAACCCCAUCUACACAUCCUACAACCCCAUCUACAAAUUCUCCAACCCCAUCUGCACAUCCUCCAACCCCAUCUACACAUCCUCCAACCCCAUCUACACAUCUACAACCCCAUCGUCCUACAACCCCAUCUACACAUCCUACAACCCCAUCUACACAUUCUCCAGCCCCAUCUACACGUCCUCCAACCCCCCAUCUACACAUCCUCCAACCCAUCUACACAUCCUCCAACCCCAUCUACACGUCCUCCAACCCGAUCUACACAUCCUCCAACCCCAUCUACACGUCCUCCAACCCCAUCUACACAUCCUCCAACCCCAUCUACACAUCCUCCAACCCCAUCUACACAUCCUCCAACCCCAUCUACACAUCUCCAACCCCAUCACAUCCUCCAACCCCAUCUACACAUCCUCCAACCCCAUCUACACAUCCUCCAACCCCAUCUACACAUCCUCCAACCCCCCAUCUACACAUCCUACAACCCCAUCUACACAUCCUACAACCCCAUCUACACAUCCUCCAACCCCAUCUACACAUCCUCCAACCCCAUCUACACAUCCUCCAACCCCAUCUACACAUCCUACAACCCCAUCUACACAUCCUACACCCAUCUACAAUCCUCCAACCCCAUCUACACAUCCUCCAACCCCAUAUACACAUCCUCCACCCCCAUCUACACAUCCUCCAACCCCAUCUACACAUCUACACGUCCUCCAACCCCAUCUACACAUCCUCCAACCCCAUAUACACGUCCUCCAACCCCAUAUACACGUCCUCCAACCCCAUCAACACGUCUUCCAACCCCAUCUACACGUCCUACAACCCCAUCUACAUGUCCUACAACCCCAUCUACACGUCCUCCAACCCCAUAUACACGUCCUCCAACCCAUCUACACAUCCUACAACCCCAUCUACACAUCCUACAGCCCCAUCUACACAUCCUCCAACCCCAUCUAUACAUCUACACGUCCUCCAACCCCAUCUACACAUCCUCCAACCCCAUCUACACGUCCUCCAACCCCAUCUACACGUCCUCCAACCCCAUCUACACGUCAUCCAACCCCAUCUACACGUCCUCCAACCCCAUCAACACGUCUUCCAACCCCAUCUACACGUCCUACAACCCCAUCUACACGUCCUCCAACCCCAUCUACACGUCAUCUAC
ensembl:lncRNA